GGAGCCGAUUCAUCUGAGGAGAGAUUUAGAAGGCAUGUGAGAAGAUACCCGAGAGAGUAUUUUAAUUCUCAGCUAUCUCAAGAAGAUAGACCUUAUCAACCUGAUCCAUCAAUUUAUUAUCCUGAAUAUCCAUAUCCAUAUCCAGUGCAAUAGCGUUAGAAUGCUGUUCAGUACCACAGGACGGGAUUA